UGUUAUGUACAUACCUACAACACAACGUUAAUGCACCAAAUCCCAUUAGAAUUCCGCAAUUAAGCAUGCUUGGGAUAGAUUAGUACUGGGAUGGGUGACUGCCCGGGAAGUCCUUGUAUUUUACAG
rnacentral:rRNA from 1 species